GUCCGUACGUACACGGAACUUUUGCUACAGUGAUUUAAAUCCUACCGGCUUUUCGCCUCACACCGGCUAUUUUGAGAACUUUCAGUCCUAUACAGUGAUUUACAGUAAAUUUUACGGGCCUUUCGCCUCUCACCGGCUGACAAUUUUUCAUGCGACAAUGCGACAUGCAAUGAAAUAUAUUCUUCAUGCCAAAUAACAAAUGGAAAUUGGAAUGGUCAGUAUUACUUACAGUGGUCAUUAUU